GUAGGCAUAGUUAGUCAGAAUUAACCAACCACAUUGUUCUCUAGUAGGAAUUGUUGGCCAACUGAAGGCUGGUGCCUCACUGGGCACUGCAGGCAGCAAGCUUGGCAUGGAGGGCACAUCUCACUUCUCCCCUGAGCCUGAUGCAUCCAUGGCACUUCCUUGCUUGGAACACUGGCUGCCCCACAACACAUGCCAGCUCCAUGGCCUAGCAGUCCUUGCCUGAAUUAGU
rnacentral:lncRNA from 1 species